rnacentral:rRNA from 1 species
CGAAGGGGCUAGCGUUGCUCGGAAUGACUGGGCGUAAAGGGCGCGUAGGCGGAUUGGUCAGUCGGGCGUGAAAUUCCUGGGCUCAACCUGGGGACUGCGUUCGAGACGGCUGGUCUAGAGUGGGGAAGAGGGUCGUGGAAUUCCCAGUGUAGAGGUGAAAUUCGUAGAUAUUGGGAAGAACACCGGUGGCGAAGGCGGCGACCUGGUCCUUGACUGACGCUGAGGCGCGAAAGCGUGGGGAGCAAACAGGAUU